AAGGGGCAAAACCAUCGUGGUCGUCCGAUUUACCCACUCCAAUCCCGUUUUUCACUGCAGCCGUCCGAUUGUUAAAUUUCUCUUUCACGUUCGCUCAACGCUGAAAACUCUAUGACAAGUAGGCCCUCCCGUACGUGGGGUCGUGUGGUUGAGAGUAGAGGGCUGCUCCUCAGGGUACGUGAUUUCUGCCCACCGCGGUGAAAACCUAGGCAUCGCGAGCAACUCCCGUCCCCCAAUCGGCCGCCUCCUUCCUCCUCCCACAAUCCCCGAGCCGCCUCCUUCUCCUCUCGUUUGCCCGCCUCCUCUCCUCCUCCCAAUCCACGGUCAAAGUUGGCGCACCGCCUUGCGCCGCCUCUCCCCGGGAUGGAUCGACCGGCAGGAGCGACGCCGCACUCCUCUCGGAGGCGGCUGGAUGCGGGAGCCACCACCGGCAGGGAGGACGCCGCGGUUGGAAGCGGCGGCGGCCUGCAGCGUCAGUCGUCGCCGCCGCGGCUCCUCCAGGUGACAGCCGGUCACGUCCUUGCGGGUGCCGAGGUCGAGCUCGCGCCGUCUCGCCCUCCCGGCCGCGUAUGCGGGUACAACGGCGGCGGCUGCCUCGGGAGAGGAGAUGCGGCGGUGGUCCUUGGUGCGGGAGGUGGCGGCUGCCUCGGGAGACGAGGAUGCGGCGGCGAUCCUUGCUGCGGGACGUGCGCUCGAACUGGCGCGAGGGAGACCGGUUGAGGCGACGGCGCAUCGAUCGACAACGGCGACAUGCGGAUCAGGAGGCAGCACGAGAAGAGGAGGCAAAGCCGGCCGGCGAAUCUUGAGCGAAAAAGUGGUGGAUGGACAGUUGCUGCUGUAAAUGUAAAAGUCGGGCACGCGAGCUGGGUUUGCCGCGACCAAGAACGUGUGCCCGCGUCCGUGGCUCGACCCUCGUCGUUGACCCCCAUGUUCUUCUCCCAGUCAUGGAGCAGCACUACACGUUGGAUGCAACCUCGUGCACUCGCUUGAGGACGAGCUUGGCCAAGAUUAUUCUCACCACCGGCAGCAACAACGCGAUUAGCAUCUGAAUAUUUCCUAAUGGCUAUGGCCCAGCAGCUGCACCUCCCUCUACUUCUCAUUUUCAACUUGAAUCAAAUAUCAGUGAACGAGAGGAAAGACAUGGUGGUGUGCUUCGAUCUGCAAGAGGAAGGAUAUGGUCGGAAUUGCAGGCCCGCAGUCUCCUGUGAUCAUCCUCCAUUUGUCAUUUUUUUGCUAUUGUACUGAAAUUUUAAUAUUGUAGUCCUCAGGUUUCCAUUAGUUCGGAAACUUAAAUUAUUUGAUGUGUACAAGGCAGUGCUACAGAAAAGGAGGUAAUUUCCUCAGCCUUCCUGAAUCUAACGGUGUCCCUUGGUGAUCUACUCGUGGUAGCUUGAACUUACCGAUGUUAUUAAUAUUACUCUUGGGCUUUAAUUACCAGUUGCAAUGUGUUCAAUUUGCCAGCCUUUUUUGUAUAUAGCCAGCCUAGCGCUUUGAUUGCGUUGGCAAGAGACUGGUCGAAAAAUUCUAGAACACAUCACAAGAAUUGUUACUAUGCAGUUUCAUGAUUUCUGUGGAGUACCAUUAUUCCAUUUUGUUCCCAUGUCAUUAGUGUGUUCACUGUGUAUUUUUUAUAGAUGCCUUCCUCAUAUUGUCCACAUAUUUAGGGAUGCUGGCUCAUAUACUUUAAAUACUUUUGUCAUAUCUUAUGUUGUUUCUGUUGUUAAUGUGUACACACUUUUCAGUCUUCAGAUAUAAAUAUCUCUGAUUUGGGUUCAAAUUUGCGUGGAUGCAUCUCCCAUGAAUGAACAUGAUAUGAUUAGCUUCAAUAUCCAAAAAGAUCCCUCCAUUGUCAGGCAAGGCGAGUUAUGACGAUAAUGUGAGAUGGAAUUGAAAGUGAGCAGACAUACAGUGUGGUACUCUAGCCAUAAAGUUUGAUGGAAAAUUAAGGGUAAAUGGCAGUGAGGGCGGAUCAAGGCUUCUUACUGGCCGUGACAUAAUGAGCUUAUGGGAUCCCCUUUGCAAGGUGCUACACUUGAGGUAAAAUGGCUUUUGUUGGCGGUGAUGCAGUCAGUGUGACAUGAACCUGAACAUUAUUCAAAACGAAGGUUUUGUCAAAUUCUGGCUGCACUGUUCUUGAUUUUUGUAAACCAUUCAAAUCAACUCCGUGUGUGGAAGGGAGCAAGAAGGAAGGGACAAUUUUUUCGGGUCGAUUAUUGUUGUUCUGGGUUGAUUACCACAUCAACUAAGUUGUGUUCUCUUUUAAGCUCUCGAUCUGGAGCUGUACAUGCCCAGGAUGGUCUUGACGGCGCUGCUGCUGCUACUGGUUAAUUAUGAGGACUUGGUGCUCCAUUAUCUCCUCAUGUCACUUAUGUGGGUGGCGAGGAGAUCAACGAGAUGUCUCGCACCUCCGGUGCACAAUGACAAGAUGGUGGGGCCUUUUGGCGUUCUUGCAAUCCGGUUUCCUCGGCCAGAGUUGGACGACCUAGCCAGCAACACCUCUUCAUCUCGAACUUGUCACUAGAUGCCAAAGGAGAGGUGUAGAUUCGGGAUCAGUGGUGCAUUGCUUACUAAAAAGUAGAGCUUUGAACAAUUACUUUUGAACAAAAGGACAGAUGGAUUAUCUCGAUCAUUGCCCAACAUUGGACAAUAAUAAUAUUUUCCCUUCAUACAGUGGAGUUGGAGUGCUUAAAGGAAUUUUAAUGAAAAAUAACCGUCUUCAACUCUCUUCUAUCUCCAUGGCUGAUAUGUUGAUGCUCUUGCCUUCCUCAUGUGUGAGGUCCAGCACUUCAAUGCCAAGGCUGGAAUUGCUUUGGGACAGACUGAGCAUGGGUGAAAGCAAGGCUGUUGGACAACGGCAGCUGCCUGGCGGCGGCGGUGGGUGGAUGGCGGUGGCCACCGAGCAACCCGCAGUAGGCUAAUCAAGACAGCAGGGUUGCUCCAUUCGCAGAAAUGGUAUCGUGGCUAGAAAGGUGAUGGAGAAUCGCUGCUGAAGGUGAUAUUGCAUGCUGAAGGUGAUAUUGCAGGCACCAUCAUGGCCACAUCGAAGGUCCUAAGCUCUAGGAAAAUUUAUUGAGACUCGAGAGUCAAGACAAACGCAACAAAUUUUUGAAGGUGAUAAUGUUUUUUGUUCCCAUAUGUGAAUGAGUACUAACUUGUGAAAACUAUCAAGAAGCUUGCAUGCUUCCGACAACUUUAAGCACCUGAUACUUUGUGCUGCACAGUUUGCAGCUGUAGGGGCGAUGUCUUUCAGGUUGUGUGGAAUCCAAAUUUGGAGACUGUUGGCCUUCCAUGCUGCGGGCAAAAGGGUGAUGAGAUGGGACGUUAGUAGAGAGGCUUGUCCAAGUUGAAGAAUAAAGUAUGGAACCAAAGCAUACAUUCACAGAAACUGGGAUAUAAGUGCUUGCGUUCGUAUGAUCCUAUUAAUUGCUUUAUAAUUAUUUUAUUCAAGGCAUCUAACCCUCCUACCAGAAAAUGACUAUCCCAACCGCAUCACUAUGUGAUCGAAAGAACCUUUCAAUUGCCCCAACCUCUAACUAUUUGAUCAUUUUGAUAGGUCUAUAACUCUAUAUCCACAAUGGGUACCAAUCUUUUUGUCAACGUUUUGGUUUCCUGCCCUAUAAAGUGAUAUGCAUGUUCGUUAGGCAUGAAGUAGAUGCUCAAGAUAUUUAGAACAUCUUUGGUAAUGUGCAAUGUGUCCAUUCCAGGAGGUACUGCAGAUAUCUAUCCAUGGAGCUCGAUGAACUGUGGUACUUAGUUAACAGCGACACCGAUCAGUUAGGUUAUAAAAUCUGUAGUUAUUGGAGCCAUUCAUAUGCAUUUAUCAGCGCAGACAGUGCAGAUAGAGCUGAAUCUGGACAAACUUUGCAGUAAUAAAACCUUAUUGCAUGAUGCUUUGAAAAAUAAAAAUAUUGUAACGAUUAGUUUGUGAGUUGUCCAGAUUGCUUCACCCACUCGUUCGAAAGGUUUGUAUCCAUAGGUUUUGUAACAAUAUAUGGUUAUGAUAUAUGCAGGUUUUAUGUACUUACAAUAUUGUUCCAUCCCAGCUUUGGAACGCUUCGGGACAAGUGAAGUUGUGAGAAAAGUUUGUCCUGUUUUUCUUAUUGUUUUUACAAGUGACCAUGCAUAAGGUUUUAAUACUUUAACCGUCCAAGAAGACUUUGAGGUUGGAGAUGUUCAUUUUUGUAUUUUUUAAGACGCCACAUGUGGCUGCUAUAUUUUUGAAAAGGACACAAAAUAAUCCUUAGUUA